GCUCAAGUGGGGUAGUGGUAACCUGGAUCGUUGCCAUUGAAUAAGUCGAUCCGCCCCGCGUUCGAUUCGCGGCUUGAGCA